UACGUAGGGUGCGAGUGUUAAUCGGAAUUACUGGGCGUAAAGCGUGCGCAGGCGGUUUGUUAAGUCCGCUGUGAAAGCCCCGGGCUCAACCUGGGAAUGGCAGUGGAAACUAGCGAGCUAGAGUGUGUCAGAGGGGGGUGGAAUUCCACGUGUAGCAGUGAAAUGCGUAGAGAUGUGGAGGAACACCGAUGGCGAAGGCAGCCUCCUGGGCCAGCACUGACGCUCAUGCACGAAAGCGUGGGGAGCAAACAGG
rnacentral:rRNA from 1 species